rnacentral:rRNA from 1 species
AACCCUGUGGCACAAUGAAAGUGAAGGCAGGCAUUGGUCUGCUUAGGCGAGAGUCUCUUUGGGGACACAUCGUCGACCGAUCCCAGGUCACGCUGUGGCGGGAUUUGAGUGAGAGCGUGCCUGUUGCGACCCGAAAGAUGGUGAACUAUGCCUGAAUAGGGUGAAGCCAGAGGAAACUCUGGUGGAAGCUCGUAGCGAUUCUGACGUGCAAAUCGAUCGUCAAAUUUGGGUAUAGGGGCGAAAGACUAAUCGAACCAUCUAGUAGCUGGUUCCCUC